rnacentral:rRNA from 1 species
GAUGAACGCUGGCGGCGUGCCUAAUACAUGCAAGUCGAGCGAACAGACGAGGGGCUUGCUCCUCUGACGUUAGCGGCGGACGGGUGAGUAACACGUGGAUAACCUACCUAUAAGACUGGGAUAACUUCGGGAAACCGGAGCUAAUACCGGAUAAUAUAUUGAACCGCAUGGUUCAAUAGUGAAAGACGGUUUUGCUGUCACUUAUAGAUGGAUCCGCGCCGCAUUAGCUAGUUGGUAAGGUAACGGCUUACCAAGGCGACGAUGCGUAGCCGACCUGAGAGGGUGAUCGGCCACACUGGAACUGAGACACGGUCCAGACUCCUACGGGAGGCAGCAGUAGGGAAUCUUCCGCAAUGGGCGAAAGCCUGACGGAGCAACGCCGCGUGAGUGAUGAAGGUCUUCGGAUCGUAAAACUCUGUUAUUAGGGAAGAACAAAUGUGUAAGUAACUAUGCAUGUCUUGACGGUACCUAAUCAGAAAGCCACGGCUAACUACGUG